CACCCCCCACUUGAGAUAAUGGUACAUUCCAGGCGUAGGAGCAUAGAGGAAGUAGCCUUUUCAAGUGUGGAGGGUUUGUUUGACAAUGUGCAGUUUGUUUGCUGAGGGAACAAGUCUGACUUGCUUGAGAUAAUUAUGCCCUGUACAAAAACAUGCGGAAAGUAACACCGCAUGACUGAGCACUUUAGCCCUAGACAAGACUGCAACUUCUUUCUGUAAGCUUCCGGGGUUGUAAUGCCGCUGGCAACAGUUUCGAAAGAGAUUCCCCUUGUUCUGUUUGUUUAUUUAUUUAUUUAUUUAUUCAAUUUAUACCCCGCGCAUCUAGACUGAAGUCUACUCUGGGCGGCUUUUCUUAUUGCUUUUCUUUGAGAAAAGCUGGUAUGCAGGCAAACUAAAAGAUCUGGCAGGUGCUCCUAAACAUUUGCCUUUCCUGUGAAGAAGGGGAGCUCUCUCCUUGUUUCGAUGAGUAUGGCCCUCCCUUGUUCCUCCUGCUGCUGCUGCUGUCCCUGGAUCUCAUUUCCUUCGAGAGAGCUCACAUUAACAAAGAGAAACCCCUCAAAAUGAAACGGGUCAACAUGCCUAAGAUUGACACCCUGUUCACCAACAUUGCAGAGACAUUUAACAAGCAGCAAGGUGAUUGCUUGGCUCUCCGGGAAGCCAUCCAGGGCCUGAAAGAGACCUUUUGCUGCUCACCUGCAAGCAGUCUGUCUGUAUGCAUAGAGAAGAUACAGCAGGAGCACCGUGCUUGCAAUGUGCAGGUGCAGAUGGAGGGAUACAGAUUCUGGCUGGCCAUGAGAGAGAAGGACGUUCCUGAGAAACUGAAGUGGGCUCAGCAGCAGGUGGGGGAACUGAACCGUGCCACCUUAGGAGUCAUCAGUGUAGAAACUAAACUCCAGGAAAUGAUCCAGUCUGUGCUUCAAAGCCAGGACAAGUUGAUGGAGAAAGUAAAAGCUGCAAAUCCUGAAUACCUAGACCAGAUCCGGGUCGAGGGAAACCUGCAAGAAAACAUACAGGAAAUGUGUUUGGCUCAACAGUUCUUGAAGCAGUAUACAGAAGAAGCCAAAAAUGUCCUUAAAGAAAUGUCCAACUCAGUAGGUUUUACCUUGUAAAAAGGGAUGAAGAUGAACAUGUUUUAAGGGUGCUUUCUACAGUGAUGAAUUAAGGCACUAGUGACAGAAGGCUCUUUAGGUUAUAGUUUUACUGCACAGAUUACACAGAAAUUGAACCUGACUGUAAGAUUUCUGUAAGUGUAAAGUGAUACAACCACAUGCCGGAAAAGUAGACAAAUUAUUAUCAUGUGACAAAUAGACUUCAGUGGUCUAUAAGUGGCAAGAAUUCAGUGCUAUUGCUAUUAGGUGGCUGCCAUUUUUCUCUUUAUACUGUAUCUGUCUUUAAAAUGAAGAAGAUAGCUACAGACUUUGUUUUCCUCUGAAUUCUUCUGAAUUCAUAAAGGACAGCCAACCCUAUCUUACUGGGCCAAUGAGAACACUCGCCAGAGUGCCAGCUUGGAAAAGGAGUAGUUUGUGCCCAGGAGGUGUGAUAAAAAGAAGUUUGUUCUCAUUGUUAUCUUGAGUCUAAUUCAGCAUCUCAUUUCUAAAAACAUGUCUGGGUAAGACAGGCCAAAUAAAAGCUUGAACAUAAUGCA
rnacentral:lncRNA from 1 species